rnacentral:lncRNA from 1 species
CUCGACUCCGGCUUCGGGCGGUCUUCCCUGUGCUCGGCGUUUGGUCUGGAAAGAUUCUCCCUGCGCCUGGUCUGGCCUGUGGGGCUGGGUGUCGCCACAAAUGCUUUUGACCAAGUUGACUGCACUGGGAUUGGUCUCUUCGAUCAGCUGGAGUGCAAAGAAGUACUUCCAGAUAUUCUCAUUCUCUACCUAGAAUUAAUCAAAGCUUCUUUUAACUUUGAUUAUUUAUUAACGUUUGCUCUAAGAUUUGUUCGUACAAAAUAUCUGGUGCUAAUUACUCCUUACCCUAGAAAUGCUUUUUUUUUUUUUUUUUUUACAUAUUCAGAUCUUAAUUCCUUACACAGUUUGAUGAUGUUAUCCCAGUUUUUCCUCAUAUUCAUAUUCAGCAAUGGGCAAUUUUAUGUCUAUUUUGGUAAAAAAGAAUAACUUCCUGAAUUUGAUCAGAGUUGAAAGAAAUUCCUGAAUUUCCCUCCUUAGGGAAAAAUAAUAAAUGAAAUAUAAUUAAACGUACCCCA